rnacentral:rRNA from 1 species
AUUGAACGCUGGCGGCAUGCUUUACACAUGCAAGUCGAACGGUAACAGGCCGCAAGGUGCUGACGAGUGGCGAACGGGUGAGUAAUGCAUCGGAACGUGCCCAGUCGUGGGGGAUAACGCAGCGAAAGCUGCGCUAAUACCGCAUACGAUCUAUGGAUGAAAGCGGGGGACCGUAAGGCCUCGCGCGAUUGGAGCGGCCGAUGUCGGAUUAGGUAGUUGGUGGGGUAAAGGCUCACCAAGCCAACGAUCUGUAGCUGGUUUGAGAGGACGACCAGCCACACUGGGACUGAGACACGGCCCAGACUCCUACGGGAGGCAGCAGUGGGGAAUUUUGGACAAUGGGCGCAAGCCUGAUCCAGCCAUGCCGCGUGCGGGAAGAAGGCCUUCGGGUUGUAAACCGCUUUUGUCAGGGAAGAAAUACUCUGGGCUAAUACCCUGGGGUGAUGACGGUACCUGAAGAAUAAGCACCGGCUAACUACGUGCCAGCCGCCGCAGUAACAC